CUGCAGCCAAUUGAGCCGACUGAGUUCCUUUCCUCAUGGGGGCCCAGUGUGCAAUGGCUGCAAACAGCAGCUUCCCUGGUAGUGAUGCAGCCUGUCUGUUGUAUGGGUUGCUCUAAGGGACCUUGGAGACAGAC
rnacentral:snoRNA from 1 species